CCUCUUUUUGUUAAAUUAAUCCUUGAUAAUCCUCACUUAAAACUCCUUCUUUAAAUCCAUUCAAUCUUUUUAUUUUUCUUUUUUUCUCUUCAAUACUUUAGAGCAUUAUCUGUUGUUCUGCCCCCGUCCUCUUUUCGUUAAAUUAAUCCUUGAUAAUCCUCACUUAAAACUCCUUCUUUCAAUCCAUUAAAUCUUUUUAUUUUUCUUUUUUUCCCUUUUUAAUACUUUAGAGCAUUAUUUAUUUGUUCUGCCCCCGUCCUCUUUUCGUUAAAUUAAUCCUUGAUAAUCCUCACUUAAAACUCCUUCUUUCAAUCCAUUAAAUCUUUUUAUUUUUCUUUUUUUCUCUUUAAUACUUUUGAGCAUUUUUUGUUAUUCUGCCCCCGUCCUCUUUUUGUUAAAUUAAUCCUUGAUAAUCCUCACUUAAAACUCCUUCUUUAAAUCCAUUCAAUCUUUUUAUUUUUCUUUUUUUCUUUUUAAUACUUUAGAGCAUUAUCUGUUGUUCUGCCCCCGUCCUCUUUUCGUUAAAUUAAUCCUUGAUAAUCCUCACUUAAAACUCCUUCUUUCAAUCCAUUAAAUCUUUUUAUUUUUCUUUUUUUCUCCUUAAUACUUUAGAGCAUUAUUUAUUUGUUCUGCCCCCGUCCUCUUUUCGUUAAAUUAAUCCUUGAUAAUCCUCACUUAAAACUCCUUCUUUUAAUCCAUUAAAUCUUUUUUUUCCUUUUUUUCUCUUCAAUACUUUAGAGCAUUAUUUGUUGUUCUGCCCCUGUCCUCUUUUCGUUAAAUUAAUCCUUGAUAAUACUCACUUGAAUCUCCUUCUUUCAAUCCAUUAAAUCUUUUUAUUUUUGUUUCUCUUUAAUACUUUAGAGCAUUAUUUGUUGUUCUCCCCCUGUCCUCUUUUCGUUGAAUUAAUCCUUGAUUAUUUUGUCUUGAAACUCCUUAUCAAAUCUUGAAAAUCAGUAUAAGAUUUUCGGUCUUAGUAAAGAUUUGAAAGAGACCCAGCUACCGCAUACAUUGAAAGAAAUUUCAAAAGGCAGAUGUCUGACAACAGCAUAUCUUGCCUUGAGGUUGAGAAUUGAAACUGACAAAAAGAUAUGUCAAAAUUGAAAUACGUUAGAAAUCUUUCUAAUUUGUAGCGAUCGAUUGCAUUUAACGAUGGCAUUAGACAAUAUCAUUAAAGUUCAAGCUUGUGGGUCAAAAAGUUUUUCAUUCAAAGAAACUGCGUACUUUUUGACCUACUAAACAGGCAAAACGUGCAAAUAUAUCAACAGUCAUUUUACCAGAAGGCAACAAAAAAGACUAUGACGACUUGCAAAAUUUCAUAAAACAAAACUUAGAAAAGCAUCUUGUUAGUAACUACGAUAAGGUAUACGAAAUAGCACUGAAUUAUUCGGAAAGCAAUGCAGAGCAAGACAACAGCUCGUAGAAUUAUGUAUAUUAUUAUUAGCUAUUUACUUUCGAUUUAAUUCUAUAAAACAUUAAAGUUGGUUAUUUUACAAUUUUAAAUGUAAAUCUCAAAACCUGCUUAUAACCUUCACCGAGUAUACUUAGUAUCAGCUUUAGAUAAUACCCGUGGAGAAGUAUGUAAUUAAUCGAGAAAAUAAGAUUUGUAGGCAAAAUAAACGGAAAACAAGCCCAGUGUUUCUAAUUUAUCGAUAAGCCGAACGUUAUAUUUUCCAGAUUUUUUCUAGAUCCGCGAAACCAGUUUUAUUUUCAAGGCAGUGAAAGAAAUUUGUUUUUGAAUAUUAGUUAUUUUUCUUUCCUUUUUUCAAAUGCCAAAAAUUCCAAUUUUCGAAGUAAAUUCUCCAAAUAACAAGAUGAAUGCCCCUUGCAACACCCCGUGAUAACAUUUCCAUCGCUCAAUGGGCUAGUCUUCCCUUUGUUCUUUCACUAGAUCAUUUUGCUUAAAGGAAAACAAAGGAUUGAGCUGGGGCUACUCCAUAGAAAAUAAAAACUACAAUGAUUAAAGAAGUGUGGAUUAUACACAGGUUUUUAUGAUCCUCGUAAUGAUUUACAAAAAUUACAUCCCGCAGGUAGACUUUUCAUCCAUUAAGUAGAUGGUAUACAGUUAAUCCGUACUUUAUAUAUGUAUAAAUUUCAUCUGUAUUAGCGAAUGCGAGAGAAAAAUAUGAGUCUGACGAGCGAGGUCUGACGUCAUCCUUGAGUGAUUCCUUCGCAACUUUUAUGCCUUGGCUACUUUUGAUAUCUCAUUUUAUCAAAAUUUCUUUCACUGGCUUUUUCUAACAAAUUCUAGAUAGUUACAGCUACAUCAAAUUUAUUCUUCCCCAACAAUUUAACUUAAGGCAGUUCUUUGUCAACAUGGAUUCUUCUUCUAUAUUUUUUUUAGUAUUGUCAAUUUUUGCGUCCGUAAUAAAUGUCGUCGUUUUCUUUGCCUUUUUAGCUAGCUUUUUCUUUAAAAUAUAAUUAGUGCCUCUGAUUUUCCAUAUGGCCAAAAAGCAGUUGUUUGAAAACAGUAAAGAUAUCUUUUUUCGUCAACACGUAUCGACGAAGGAGCUUUACUACCCAGAAUGCUAUUCGCCUUUCGUGUGAUUAAAAACAUGGCUUCGAAGAAAGUUGUUUUCGUCAUAAGCGGCUCACGUGUUAUAGUUAUUCCAAGAAAAUUGAUAUUUACUAUGCGACAAGAUGUUAGAUAAAUAUAUUGUAAUGCUGAACAGUUAAAGGCCGAAGAGUCAUGGAUAUUUGCAUCCUGCUUUGAUUUCUGUGGUGUUUUGUCUUGAUGGGAAAACUUUGGAACCAAAAACCAGGGCUGACAAAUUCCUCUUCAAAGUUCAUCAAUAUAGCCAGUUGAUGCUUUGAACACCUAGAAAUUGGAUAUGAAUGGGAUCUGGACUAAAACCUUCAUAAGAACUUGUAUGACUUUUGCAGG